CAUGAGUAAACAUCUCCCUGAUUCAAGAUCUUCACUUGGCUGGCUGUUUUUCAAAGAUGCGCUCCUCAAGAAAAAUGUCCACGUGUUUGCUGACCUUAGUUCUGUAGUUUUGUUGUAAUAGUUCAGCAUCUUUAAAAAGAAGAAAAAUGUAGCAAUGGGUUUUGGUCAUUCCUUAUAAAACCUGUUACAAAUUACAGUUAAAGAAUCUUAACCAUGCUUAAUUGGACUCAUUUCUCAAAGAUCGUGCAACUAAAAGGCAUCUGUAAUCUGAUACUGUAAAGUCCCAUUUUUGGGGAUCAAAACAGUUCUCAAUGUGGCUUUUCAUUGAACAGCCACUACCAUUGCUCUAAACUUUGUCCAGCACUUGAAGUGCUUCCUGAUUUGAUUCCUUUUCUUAUAUAUUGCAAUAUCUGGGGCUUGUUUGUGUUCCUUAUUUUCCCCCUCAGUCUCUGACUGACCUACCUCCUGCCAGGUUUUAAACUGAGAGGAAAGAUAUAUGCUCAUAAACAGACUUUUGGGAGACUUGAUGCUAAAUUCAAAUUAAUAUUAAAAAAGAGAAAAAAAACCUUAGUUUAACUGAGGCUCCUGUUUGUUCAAUUUCCCAAAAGAGUGAAUUCCUUUCAGACUGGUGAACUACACAUCCGAAGUGGCCGGCUGUUCAUGAAGUUGCAAAUUGCAGCAUGCUACAGUCUGUCCAAGGUAUCUUCUGUGCUCUGCUCAACAUCUGCAUUUUUAAUGUGCUGUAAAAUGGACUAAUCUUGUUUAAAGUGAUCGAGAAAUGUAACUUUGUUUCCCUAAAGCUUAUAUAUAUCUCAAACCGGGAACAGUUUUGUACUUUUUGUUCUUUGUAUGAUCAACUUUUUUUUUGUCAGUUUGGCUUCAUGGAGCCUAUUAAACAAAUUGUGGAAAAUGAUCAUGAUUGUUGCCUCUUAAAACAACCGCAUGGGGACUAAAGCUGAGCGCUGUAGGCUCAUUUUAAUGUAAUGCUGCGUGAGAACUAAAUCAUCUGCUUGAUGCAAUCAGAUGGUGCCCAUCUCUGGACUAAAGUCAACAAUUUGGUAGGCUAGUCAAAGUUCUCAAAGCUUAAACGGGAGGGGAGGGAAAGCUGUUACUGGGUAUCUGUAAAGAUCCACAUAAGUUUGAAAAAGGGGUGGGGAAAGCACAGUUGAAUCAAGUGAAUCCUGUACAUGUUAAACGAUCCAUGAGCCGAAUGUUGUACCUACUAAGUGUGCUGAUCAAACAAAGUGGCAUAUGGGGGAAGUUGGUGCCUGGUCAUGUUCAUGCUUCAUUACGUUCAAGAGAGGUCAAGAGCUCCUUCAAAAUCCUACAAGUCCUUGGAGAGUGAAGUGUUGCGCCUACCAACAAGUGCUCCUCAGAGAUGAAAGCUGCUCUUGCCUAGUCAAAUGUGAAGAAAGUAGGCCAGUGCACGUGAGGUAAAAAUCUCCUUUUGCUUUGCUCACAUCCUUGAAACUAAGUUCUCAUUGUUGCCAUGAAAUACCUUCAAGUUAGCCGCUGUUUAGUCCUCUGCUUCUGAUGUCUCCUACAAACAUCACAAGUCCUCUUACCUGAUUCUAAAGUCCAUUGGGAGGUGGGGUUUCUGUCUGGGAUUUUAGUGCUCCACCUUGAGUCCACCAAAAAAUGCAUUGGUCCUUUAAGUCGGAUAGUUUUGUGCUCAGUCCACUUUGGUCACUAGUCCACAAAUUUGCUCCUGUAAUGUCCACAAGCCCCAAUUCAUGUGUAAGGUGUAUAGACUGCAUUCACUUUUCCUUUGUACCUUAUGUGGUGAGUCAUUAAUACUGCAUGCAGUUUGACUUCAAGCAUCAGUUGGCAGGUUUAAUCCAUCCAUUUCUCCUCCUCUAGACUGAAAACUGACUGGAUGCUUCAGUGGAUCUCGUCACAGCUGAAGUAGCUGGAUUUUUAGGCUGCAAGAUCUCAUGCAGUUGCUGUAUCAGGUCCAAUGAGCAGUGGGGUGACUGUCAACACGAAGGAAUCUUCCAAAUUCCUGAAGCGCAUUUCCUGAUGUUACAGUAAAUGUCGCGAACUGGGAAAACGGCAUUAGAGCUGCAGUUGAUGGACAAACCUGACUAUGUAGUUUUGCUUUGGAUCGAAACUCGAAUAAAAUCUGACACAAAAGAA